UAUUAUUUCAUUACGGAUUCUACUUUUACGGGUUUACGUUUUCGGCGGAAAAAUUACGGGUUUACUUUUUUGGCGGAAGAAUCAUGGGUUUACAUUUUUUUCGGGAAAAUUACGGGUUUAUGUUUUUGGCGGAAAAAUUACAGGUUUACGUUUUUGGCGGGAAAAUCACGGGUUUACGUUUUUUUGGCGGAAAAUAUUAU
rnacentral:sRNA from 1 species